UGGGGAAUUUUGCACAAUGGGGGAAACCCUGAUGCAGCGACGCCGCGUGAUUUAGAAGGCCUUCGGGUUGUAAAAAUCUUUUCUAUGGGAAGAAAAUGACAGUACCAUAGGAAUAAGGACCGGCUAAUUACGUGCCAGCAGCCGCGGUAAUACGUAAGGUCCGAGCGUUGUCCGGAAUCAUUGGGCGUAAAGGGUACGUAGGCGGGUAAGCAAGUUAGAAGUGAAAUCCUAUAGCUCAACUAUAGUAAGCUUUUAAAACUGCUCAUCUUGAGGUAUGGAAGGGAAAGUAGAAUUCCUAGUGUAGCGGUGAAAUGCACAGAUAUUAAGAGGAAUACCGGUGGCGAAGGCGACUUUCUGGCCAUAACCUGACGCUGAGGUACGAAAGCGUGGGUAGCAAGCAGG
rnacentral:rRNA from 1 species